CAUGAAGCUGGAAUCGCUGUAAUCGCGAAUCAGAAUGUCGCGGUGAAUACGUUCCCGGGUCUUGUACACACCGCCCGUCACACCAUGGGAGUCGGAUAUGCCCGAAGCCGGUGACCUAACCGCAAGGAAGGAGCCGUCGAAGGUGGAGCCGAUGACUGGGGUGAAGUCGUAACAAGGUAUC
rnacentral:rRNA from 1 species